GCGCCGGGGGCGGGCUCGCUGCGCGUGCCGGGCGGGGAAGCGGCGCGAGCCGGGCGCCUGAGAACGUUCGCCGCGGGGGCGGCUCCGGGGCCUGAGCGGACGCCGCCGCCGCCUGAGCCGCGGGGGCCGGGCCGGAGGAGACGGAGGAGGCUGCGGCCCCCGAAGACCUUCUCGACGCCCCCAGCUCCGGCCGAGAAGAUGAUUGAGGAAAGUGGGAACAAGCGGAAGACCAUGGCGGAGAAGAGGCAGCUGUUCAUAGAAAUGCGUGCUCAAAAUUUUGAUGUCAUACGACUAUCAACUUACAGAACAGCUUGCAAAUUACGAUUUGUACAAAAACGAUGCAACCUCCAUCUCGUUGAUAUCUGGAACAUGAUUGAAGCCUUUCGAGACAAUGGCCUUAAUACACUGGACCACACCACUGAGAUCAGUGUGUCCCGCCUCGAGACUGUCAUCUCAUCCAUCUACUACCAGCUGAACAAGCGCCUUCCUUCCACUCACCAAAUCAGCGUGGAACAGUCCAUCAGCCUCCUCCUCAACUUCAUGAUUGCUGCAUACGACAGUGAGGGCCGAGGCAAGUUGACGGUAUUUUCAGUUAAAGCUAUGUUAGCAACCAUGUGUGGUGGAAAAAUGCUGGACAAAUUGAGAUAUGUUUUCUCCCAGAUGUCAGAUUCCAAUGGCUUAAUGAUAUUUAGCAAGUUUGACCAGUUUCUGAAGGAAGUUCUGAAGCUCCCAACAGCGGUCUUUGAAGGGCCAUCUUUCGGUUACACAGAGCACUCAGUCCGCACCUGUUUUCCACAGCAGAAAAAGAUAAUGCUAAAUAUGUUUUUAGACACAAUGAUGGCCGAUCCUCCUCCCCAGUGCCUUGUCUGGCUACCUCUCAUGCAUAGGCUUGCUCAUGUUGAGAAUGUCUUCCAUCCCGUGGAGUGCUCCUAUUGCCGCUGCGAGAGUAUGAUGGGUUUCCGGUACCGAUGCCAGCAGUGCCACAACUACCAGCUCUGCCAAAAUUGCUUUUGGCGUGGUCAUGCCAGUGGCCCGCACAGCAACCAACACCAGAUGAAGGAGCAUUCCUCCUGGAAAUCCCCUGCAAAGAAGCUGAGCCAUGCAAUUAGUAAAUCCUUGGGGUGUGUACCCACCAGAGAACCCCCGCAUCCUGUUUUUCCUGAGCAACCAGAGAAACCACUGGACCUUGCAAAUAUAGUUCCUCCUCGCCCUCUGGCCAACAUGAAUGACACCAUGGUGAGCCACAUGUCCUCGGGGGCGCCCACUCCCACCAAGAGUGUCCUGGACAGUCCUAGCCGGCUGGACGAGGAACACCGGCUUAUAGCUCGCUAUGCUGCCCGGCUGGCUGCAGAGGCAGGAAACGUGACCCGUCCUCCCACUGACUUGAGCUUUAACUUUGAUGCCAACAAACAACAAAGGCAGCUUAUUGCAGAGCUGGAAAAUAAAAACAGAGAGAUCCUGCAGGAGAUUCAGCGUCUUCGUCUGGAGCACGAGCAGGCCUCCCAGCCCACCCCCGAGAAGGCCCAGCAGAACCCCACGCUGCUGGCAGAGCUGCGGCUGCUGAGGCAGCGGAAGGAUGAGCUGGAGCAGAGGAUGUCGGCGCUGCAGGAGAGCAGGCGGGAGCUGAUGGUCCAGCUGGAAGGGCUGAUGAAGCUACUGAAGGCUCAGGCCACGGCAUCGCCGCACACAUCGCCCACGCAUGGAGGUGGCCGCCCGCUGCCGAUGCCUGUGCGCUCCGCCUCCGCUGGCUCCACCCCCACCCACUGCCCGCAGGACCCCCUGAGCGGCGUCGGCGGGGACAUGCAGGAGGCCUUCGCCCAAGGUGAGCUCGGGGGCAGAGUGUGCUGGAGAGCUGGAGGGGUUGGAAUCAUGGACAGGAUUCCUACUGAGGGCUUCCCGUCUCUUUCCUUUUGUGUGCUUAGCUCUCAGUGACUGCAUUUUCACUAUGGUAAAAAAUAAGUCAGGCGCUGGCCCUUUCUCAUCGCAUGGGCGGCGCCCGUCGGGAGGGCUGCAGGCUGUGUGUGUGUGUGUGUGUGUGUGUGUGUGUGUGUGUGUGAGAGAGAGAGAGAGAGAGAGAGAGAGAGUGUGUGAAGUACAGGCUGCCUGGGCUUCUGUGCUCUUUUUGCCAAGUUGUGGGAAAUGCCUUGUCUUUUUUGCCUCGCCUGGAGGAACUGGAUGGAGGAAUUCCCAAAGUCACGUGCUCGGCCUGGAAGGUUUCGAGCAAGCAGGAGGUGGAAGAGUGGAACUGCAGACAGGCCCUUGCUCAAGGCUUCUGGUCCGCGGAGCCAACAGCCAGCCGUGUCUGUAGCUGGGGGAAGACGAGGCCGCUCAGGAGGCCUUGUUGGGGUGGAGACGAGAGCAGGGAGGUGGUUCUGGGGAGGAAGUCCUGCCCCAGGGUUUGUUCUGGAAUCCACCUCUUUUGACUGUGGCUGAGAUGCGCGGAGCUGGCAGGGCCCUGCUCUUCGGCGGAGGAGAGCGAGGAGGGCCAUGGGCCUGGGUGCCUGUGCACCUGCCGUGCCCGGGGGCCCGCUGAGCUGCUCCGCCCACCUCCCCUUACGCAUUCCGUGUCCCAAGGCCCGGCCCUCAGCUCGCUCCCCCACCCACCACCUGGCACUGCCAUCUGCUCUGACUCCCCCCAGGUACGAGGAGAAACCUCCGCAAUGACCUGCUGGUGGCUGCCGACUCCAUCACCAACACCAUGUCAUCCCUGGUGAAGGAGCUCCACUCAGGUGACGCCCAGAGCUCCCGCCCGGCCUCCCGCCGCCCCCUCCGUGCCCUCCUCACUGCCCCGGCCCACGGUCCUCUUGCCUUCCAGGAGCGCUGGAGGUCUUCUCCCCGAGAACCUGGCUCCCACCCGGGGUCACCCAGAGCUGAUCACACACGUGGGUCUCUCCUAAGAGCGCGCCUUGCGGAGCAAACACAUCUCAGCCUCCAAAGCAGCGCCGUCUGGGCGCAGUUAGGCCCGGCCUCGCUUAACCUGUCUUCCGUCUGUGCUUCCUCCACAGCUGCUCUUUCCUUAGGCCUGCUCGGCUGGCUCCCUCGGGCGCUCUCCUGGAUGACUGGAACCGAAUCAGCCACAAAAGCUUCUGGACUUUCUCCCGGCUGCCUUUCUGCUCUCUCCUAUUUGAUUUGGUUUUGAAACCCUAUUCUCUCCUUUUGUCCAUGGCGAGGCUCUGAUUUCACUCCAAGUUCAUGACCUGAGUCCCUUGCUUCCUUCAUUCCUGGUGUUCAGUCUUAUCUAUGACUCUCUCUCUAUCACUGAGCUGUUUCGGUGAUUUUCCAGAGACCCUUACCUUGUGGCAAAUUUCCCCAUCCAUAAAACCCAGGAAGGAGAGAAAAGGCUAGAAGAGAAGGCCAUUCCCAUAUCAUCGUAUCUUUAAGAAUCCCCAUGAUUCCAUCAAUUUCAUAGCUGCCAGAUAUUUUACUAAUGUUUUUUACAGCGGUCUGAUUUCCGUGUCAUAUUUUAAAUAAACAGGCUCCCUUCCUAAGUGCUGUGGGUCGCUCAUACCGAUGGCCCGCUUUUGUUGCUUUUCACCUAAUGCGGAGCUUUUAAAUACCUUGAACUGGCUCACCAAGAUUAUUAAAUAAAGACAUAGAGCAGGGUUUUUUCCGUGGGCCUUGCAGACACAUAUCCUUAUUCAGACACAUACGUUGUAAUCAUCCGUCCAUGCGCUUAAGGAAGGCCAGCUUUGGGUGUUUCCUCAGACCUUUGUAAGAGAAUCACGUGCCUUUAGUAUUGUCAUGGGCCCAGGCCAAGGUCUGACCCACAGCUUCACUCUUAAAUCUGCUGUUUUGGUUUGGAGGAGAGUAAGUGUGUGGCCUAGGUUGGUUUUCCAGGGCAGUUAAGGUGCCAGUUCCCCUGUGCAGGGAGUGUUAUGAUAACACUGUCUCCGCUCCAGUACCAUUUCUCAGUUCCCUUUAGAAGCACUGCCCCUACACACACACACACACACACACACACACACACACACAGAAACAGGAGCGGUGACCGCAAGGAGUGUUAUGAUAAUGCUAUCUCCCCUCCAGUACCAUUUCUCAGUUCCCUUUAGAAGCACUGCCCCUCCACACACACACACACACACACACACACACACACACACACACACAGAGGCACACACGAGAGGUGACCGCCUUUGAGAUGACCUCAUAGGUGAUUAGAAAGUCCCUUCCCUUAAAUAGCUCCCCACAGACGCCAGAAAUCCCACUUUUGGAGGGAAUUUCUUAGGGAAUUUCAGGCCUCGGAAAUGAAGCACACGUGCCUCAUGGCCACCUAUUAGGGUUUGUGCAAAAUAAGUGGUUCAUGAGCUUGUCACACUGGUUCGCGAAGUAACUAGACAUCCUUAAAUGCGAAGUACGUAGAGCCCAAACAGCUUCGGAGAAAGUGAGUGUGAGGGUGCCCAGCCAUCUCUCCGGUAGAAAGGACCGUUUUACGCAUCCUGCUGUCCCCUCCCCUUGCUGUGGAAAGGUGGUGCUUGGCCUAAGGGUGUGCAGCUUGAAGGGGCAGAGCUGGUCCUGGAGCUGAGGUCUGAACGUGACGCUGAAGCACAGGAUGAGGUGUCAGGUCUGCCGUCCCGCGAGGGCCCCUCUCGGAUGCCCCGCUUCCCGAGCCCCAGAGUCCAUAGGCGGCCGUGGACUAGGGCCGCAGCCAGUGUCCCUGUCAGACAGAUGUGAACUCCUUUCAUUCAGGUGCCAGGCGGCCAGGUUCUGAGCGAGGGCAAGAGCCUUGCCUGACACCAGCCCAGUGUCCCUGUCACUGUCGAGGCUGCUGUGAGGUGGGAUGAGACACCCACACUGCCUGUGCAUGCAUUCUCUACAGCAUGGACAUGCUGUUUCUACCCACCCUCCUCAUCUUUUUUGAAUUUUUGUCACAAAUAAUGGGCUCUUAGAUGUGCAAAGGACCUCCGAAGUCAUUUCAUCCAGCUUGCUGCCCAGUAUAAAAGUCCUCUGUUUGAAUAUUUCCAGUGAGCUCAUUCAUGACCAGCUCCCAUCCCUGGGAAGUUCUUUCUAAUCCUGGAGACAGAACUCUGACUUGCCAUGACGAAGUGACCCUCACUCCACCCCCCAGAUCCCCAGAGUGAGUUCGGCCCGUCCUCUUCAGGUUGGCCCUUCAGGUAGCUGAUGGAUGUCACGUGGCUCCCCCGCAGGCCUCCUGCUCAGGCAGCUGUUUGGUCCCUUUGGCCCGUCUUCAUGUGACGUGGGUUUCACUCGAGCAUCCCGUGUGCCCACCGGGAUGUGGCCAAGUGUUUCCAGGCCCCGGUUCAAGGGAGGUCCUGGGGCUCCAGCCGACGGCUCCACCUUGGGGGGUGGGGUCUGUCCCCGCCCCCACCCUGGGCAGGUCCCUGGAAAGCAGCCUUAGAUGGCAUUCGCUUUUUUCCACAGAGCCACUUCAGUGUGACACUCUUCAGUCAUUUGAAGUUCGUUGUCAGCUAAGACCUCUAAGUGUGUGGUGGUGGUGGUUUUUAAUGGGAGCCAGUGUGCAUCUAGAGACUCCUUGCCGUGCACGUUUAUGUUGUCUUCUUGAACCUGAAUGCAAGAUACUAGCUGUAUCCCUACUGCGUGUCAUCACCUUAGGGAAGCCAGUGACAGAGCCAGCAGCCGGGCAGGUGACAUCAGGCUGCACGGCUGCUCUGGGCUCAGGGCUCCUGGGGACGUGAUGCUGAGGCACCAGACCGCACAGCAGGCAGAGCAGGCAAUUUAAGCCCCGAGGCCUGCAGCCGGGAGCCUGCAGCUCGGGUUUCGUCCCGGCCUCCCAAGUUACUCCCUUCUCCCUCCUCCUGAGCUUCUCCUGUGCUGAAGGGUCACUGGCCUCCUUGGACUUGUUUUCACAGCAGAGGAAGGUGCAGAGGAAGAAGAAGAGAAGAUGCAGAAUGGGAAAGACAGAGGUUAGCGGAGGAGCCGGGACAGAGAGGAAGCGAGAUGUUAGCAGCCUUUGCUCGGAGACCCUCAGCAGUGCCUGUGAGUCACAGUGCGUCUGUCCUGCACAGGCACGGGGGACGUGGAGCGAGCUGGCACCAACACAAGGAAGGCGAGGUCCUCCCCCAGAGGCGAAUUCCUGUCCAUCUUUCCACGGCACACCUGGACCAGGCCUGCGGGCUGCCAGACGUCACCACCCGCCAGGCAGAGGGGAGCCCGAGCCCCUGGGAAGUGGGAGGGGCGCGCCCCCCUCCUGGCACAGCCCUGCAUGAACUAGCAUCUUCAUCACUCCCUUCCGGGCAUGGUCUCAUCUCUGCAACAGGGAAUUUACUGGAGAUUGAAAAGAGAAAAGAAACAGCA